CCAGAAAACGUUUGUGCCCUUCGCGGUUUUUAUCGCAAAUAAUUUCAACUGAAUAAUAUUUCACAUGUAGCAUUAUAUUUAAUGUGUAUUUUUUUUUUUUAGUUAUUUCUAUGUUUGUUUGUUUGUUAAGCAUUAACUUAGUGGUAUAAUACGUGGAACAACGUACAACCACAAUGUCAGUUGGUAACUUUCGCAAAAUAAACGGCUUCAGAGAGACACGAGACCCCUGUCGAGGUUUAUUUUGCGAUAACGACCGACUGACUCUACCUGCACCCCCGCUGACGCAAAGUAGUGACAUUCUUCAGGAAAACUCGACAGAGCAAAGCUGUCCUUGUGACGACUGAUGGCAUGAACCAGAAACCCAGCUAACUGCUUCUCCAGAAGCUCCACAACAGCUUUGGCAUCUCUCUUCCUCGCAGGGCCCUCCAUCGUCUGUUUUACGCUCUCGUUGGGCACAGGCUGAGGGUUGCUGCUGAACGAGAUCACUAGAACCAGCCUCAAAACUGGAGCAGAAGCUUCAAAAAGAGGACACAGCUCCCCAACAGCGCUGGCCAGCACCUCUGCUCCUCUCUCAAACAUCUCCAUUACGGCUUCAAUGGCCUCCUUCUUCUGGGCUACAAUCCG